GAUGAACGCUAGCGGCAGGCUUAACACAUGCAAGUCGAGGGGUAACAGGGAAGAGCUUGCUUUUCUGCUGACGACCGGCGCACGGGUGCGUAACGCGUAUAGAACCUACCUUUUACAGGGGAAUAGCCCAGAGAAAUUUGGAUUAAUGCCCCAUAGUAUUAUUGAAUGGCAUCAUUUAAUAAUUAAACAUUUAUGGGUAAAAGAUGGCUAUGCGUUCUAUUAGCUAGAUGGUAAGGUAACGGCUUACCAUGGCAACGAUAGAUAGGGGUCCUGAGAGGGAGAUCCCCCACACUGGUACUGAGACACGGACCAGACUCCUACGGGAGGCAGCAGUGAGGAAUAUUGGACAAUGGAGGCAACUCUGAUCCAGCCAUGCCGCGUGCAGGAAGACGGUCCUAUGGAUUGUAAACUGCUUUUAUAUAGGAAGAAACCUUUCCACGUGUGGAAAGCUGACGGUACUAUAAGAAUAAGCACCGGCUAACUCCGUGCCAGCAGCCGCGGUAAUACGGAGGGUGCAAGCGUUAUCCGGAAUCAUUGGGUUUAAAGGGUCCGUAGGCGGACUAAUAAGUCAGGGGUGAAAUCCAACAGCUUAACUGUUGAACUGCCUUUGAUACUGUUAGUCUUGAGUUAUAUGGAAGUAGAUAGAAUAUGUAGUGUAGCG
rnacentral:rRNA from 1 species